CGCUCCUGACCCGAGCAAGCCACGCCUCCUUUUCCUCCUAUUAACUCUUCACCUCCCGGUUUCAGUGUGCGUGCACACGAAAGCUUAUACCAAGAACAAACUUAGUUGGUCUCUAAGAUGCGUCUAAGGGGUGCGGGUGGCGCGGUGGGUUAAACCACAGAGCCUAGGACUUGCUGAUCAGAAGGUUGGCGGUUCGAAUCCCUGCAAUGGGGUGAGCUCCCGCAGUUCGAAAGCAUGUCAAAGUGCAAGUAAUUAAAUAGGUACCGUGCGCGUUGGAUCCCUCAGCCAGUAAAGCGAGAUGAGCACCGCAAGCCCAGAGUUGGUCACGACCGGACCUCAUGGUCAGGGGUCCCUUUUUACCUUUAAGGUGCUACUGGACCUAUAUAUAAAAUCGAUUUUCCUGUAAGCUUUGUUUUGCGUUUACGAAGCCUUAAUGCGGAUCCAAGCUCAAAGUAACCAAACAAAACAGGCGUUUGUCUAUGUAGGAAUGCCAUAGCUUUAAAGCAUACGAAAAGAACAUUGGGAACUGCAGUUCACCACUCAGAUCUACAGCUCCCAGGAUUUUUGUGUGUGUGUGUGGCAGGUGCUUUAAAGGUGUUUUGUGUAGGCAAGUGAACUCUGUUAAGUGGCACUUGCUCCUAGUAUGCAUGGAUCUAGCUGCAAAAAUAUUUUACUUACCUAUUUGUUGUAUUUACAAAUCACCCUUCUGCCAAGGCAACCAAGGCAGUCUACAGUUUUAAAGUAAGGGUGCACAUUUCUUUAGAAUUAGGUCCCAGUGAAAUCAAGAGCAGUCCUCGGUGCUAAAUGUGCUCUCCUGUCCAGAUCCGGUUGCAAGGCUAGCAAUGAGGGUGGAAAGCCCCCACCCUUACUUGGGAGCAUGUGAGAGACAGUGUGGUGUAAUGGUUAGACUGUUGGACUAGGACCUGGGAGGAAACAAGGAUUCAAAUCCCCACUAGGCCAUGAGGCUCACUGGCUGAUCGUAGUGGCCCGUCACAGAUCUCAGCCUAACCUGCUUCUCAAGGUUGUUGUGAGGAAAAAAUGGAGAAGAGGAGAACCAUGUUCACCACCUUGAUCGUCUUAGAGGGAAAAGUGGCAUACAAAAUAUAAUAAAUAAAAUGGAUAAUAAUAAAGAAGUACCACUGAACUCAGUGGUGCUGACUUCUGUAUAAGCAGGAUAUGGAUCCAGCUGCUAAGAAUGUGUAGGAGCAAGCCCCAUUGAAAUCCACAACAUGCAUAAAUCCAGGGCUGGCCCACCCAUGAGGCAAGGUGAGGCAACAGGUAGAACUGAAGUUUCAUGAGCACAUAAGCAGAGGCUGAUGGUCCACCUUAUCAGCAUCCUAUUCUCCCAGUGGCCAACCAGAUGCCCCUUAUGAGAAGCACAAAAGAAAUAAUAAAAAUAAAAACCAAACGUAAAAUUUGAAAUUGGCUAUUAUGUAGUUUAACAGUGGAAAUCAUUUCACAUAUUUAUCGCACUUAUCUAGAUUGCAUCUCUCCUUCUGAAGCCGGCCUGGUUUUAGCAAAGAUGUGACGAGAGCUCCCAUCAUUUUGUCAGCUUCCAAACGUGCCUGCAAAGUUACCUGGAGAGGAAAUCUUAAACGCAGGCAAUUUUAUGUUCGAGAUUGACGCUCUGAGGUGUGCUCUCUGAUGCCACGUCUAAAGGUUUCUAUCCUUUUUUCUGAUUUCUAUGGAAACGUCACCCAAAAGCUUUCCUCUAAUUUUGUUUCUUCCCUGAAUUUGAAGCUAAUAGAGUCUCAUUUUCUUUCUCCCAGAAAGUCAUCCAGCAUCAAUCUGCACAAAUAGUGUUGUGAUUUGUUAUCUGCUGGCUACAUUGCAGGAAACAAUUUUGGUACUACGAUGCAGGCACUGGACACAUUGCCAAUGGACUUUCAAUGUGGAUGGUGCUUUACUUUAUUAUCAUGUGGGGGGUGGGGGUGGUACUAUAGAAGAGAACCCAGCACGACAUUGUGGAGCUUGUGGGUGUGUAGUUAAACCAUCUUGUAGGGAUGAUCGCAGAGUGGGGAGUGGGGUCCGGAGGGAGCACACUCCCCACCUGCAGGCAGCCGCAGCUUCAGCCUGCCUGCACGCGUGACCUUGGGGUGCAGAGUACACAGCCCCUCACAGACAAAGCCACAGCUGUCUGAACAUCGUUCCCUCUGUCUAACCUUUUGUGGUCUCAGUAGUCUGCGGUGCCCUGUCUGUAACCUUUAUCUCUGAGACUUUUUGUCUCCUUCGUCAUACACUGUGCAAGGGGAAAAAUGACACGGUGGAAACAGGUGCCAAAAUAACUUUGUACCACCCUAUGAUCUCGGGACCAGAAGAUGUGUAAAGGUCACAGCCCAAAAUGUAUCUGCCUGGUUUGCAUAUUUGUCUCAAUAAAAGGAGGCUCCACAGGGCUGGCCAGCAGUUUGCAUGCAGCUCACCUGUGCGCAGCUCACCUGCAUUACCAACUCCUGCCUCAUGUCCAUCACUUCACAUCCAAUGUUGGUUUCUUUUUGUUUUUUUUUUUAAAAAAAAAAUGCCAAAGAUCAGAGUUCAAAUCAGGGAUCAUCAAACUUUUUGGGGGCUGGUGGGCACAUUUGGGAGCCUGAGAAAGUGUCAUGGCCUCCGCUCUGAAAAUGGCUGCCAUGGUGUAGGUUACAUAACAGAAAAUGGCAGGUGCAUGCCCAUUCCAAUCAAGCACUGUAUAAACUGCAUGCAAUAAAACAGAUAAAAGUAUCUCUUGAAAUCCAUAAUCUUCUAUAGAC